rnacentral:tRNA from 1 species
GGCGUGGUAGCAUAGCGGUUAAUGUAUUCCCGAGUUAGAGAGAAGACCCAGGUUCGACUCCUGGCCCGUCA